ensembl:lncRNA novel transcript
UCUCAUUUUUCUUUCACUGACUGGAGGCAGAUGAUGAAUUUGAAGCCCUGACAAAGAGAAGGCAAAAUCAGUUUGUGUCCCUGAGUUGCUAAGUGGAGAAGAAACGUCCACCAACCAGGAAACACCUGCCUCCAACUGUUAAUAGGUCUGUGAAAUGUGCUUUGUUUCUGGUCAGCAUGGACACCCGCUUUAAUAGUGGCUUCAGAUGAGGCACCUUGUGACAGAGGAGCUCUUCCCCUGCAACCUUGAAGAUGUUGUGGAAGACAAUAGCCAUUCUUACUUCACUCUGAGGAUCACGAUGGCGUGCAAGGGUGUGCCAAGCACAUUGCUAUCUUUGGCCAUUCUCUCUCACAUUAGUACACCUGGAUGUGAAUGGCACGUUAUCUAUGUAAGCAGUGAUGGUCUCUAUCUGGUGGUAGAAAUGACAGAAUUACACACAAUCAGGACAGCUGAGAUUCCAUUUACUAGCUCAGUAAUCAGAGAAUAUGUAUGACAUCCCAGCAAAAAAUGUUGAACAUGUUCAGAUUUCAUCAUAUCAGCACCACAGUAUCAGUCUUACUGGGAGGUGCUCGCAUUCAGUUCCUGGCUACUGAAGAAAUUUUGCAGGAGUUCCAGAUAACUUACUUGUCCCAUAAUAAUGAAAACUAUUACAAUUAUGCUAAAGAAGAAUACUUAAUAACACAGUAAAAAUGUUUAUGAUGUCUUUUAAUUUCUAAAGCAUGUUAUAAAAGUAUUACAGUAUGAUCUCAUAUUUGUAAGUAAAAUAUAUAUUAAUUCAUUUAGCAAAUAAAUAUUAAGCCCCUACUAUGCACAUACCAAUAUAGAUAUUGGUAUUUGUGUGGGUGUGUGUUACAGCAGAUUUUAAUUUUCUUAUUUUGUAUUUUCUGAUUUAUCUACAAUGAAUUUGUAUUAAUUUGCUAACAAAACAUCACUAUUAAAAUAAAUUUUUUUUGAAUUAUAAGAAAAGGCUAACAUCAUAACAAUAAGGUUGUAUAGAAUAAACUGACAACACAGAAGU